CGCUGGCGGCGUGCUUAACACAUGCAAGUCGAACGAUGAAGCCCUUCGGGGUGGAUUAGUGGCGAACGGGUGAGUAACACGUGGGCAAUCUGCCCUUCACUCUGGGACAAGCCCUGGAAACGGGGUCUAAUACCGGAUACCACUCCUGCCCGCAUGGGCGGGGGUUGAAAGCUCCGGCGGUGAAGGAUGAGCCCGCGGCCUAUCAGCUUGUUGGUGGGGUAAUGGCCCACCAAGGCGACGACGGGUAGCCGGCCUGAGAGGGCGACCGGCCACACUGGGACUGAGACACGGCCCAGACUCCUACGGGAGGCAGCAGUGGGGAAUAUUGCACAAUGGGCGGAAGCCUGAUGCAGCGACGCCGCGUGAGGGAUGACGGCCUUCGGGUUGUAAACCUCUUUCAGCAGGGAAGAAGCGAAAGUGACGGUACCUGCAGAAGAAGCGCCGGCU
rnacentral:rRNA from 1 species